CUUGCAGGAAAGUGCACAAGGCCUCCAAAUCCAAAAUAUGACUAUAGAAGUUUUAUUGCCCAGACAUGUGAUUGUCUAGAACCAAUUGGAUGAUGCGUUAUAUAGAAUAUUCAUAUUGAGAGCUGCCAUGUCUUCUAAGAGAAACUCCAUUCUUUGAUGACUGAUGGAAAAGCCUCAUCACUUCCUUUGCUAAAGAACUUGUUAUCUUAAUCACUAGCCAUUAAUCAGUGACCACCGUUAUCAAAGCUUCCAGACACGCAUAAUGAUACAGCUUCCUGGAUCGUGUUGAGUUUGUUUUUCAACCUGUGAAACCCAUUUGUUUUUAGGGGUGGGUAUGCUUAUAUUUAAUUUUCUCUCUUAGAAACCAAGCAAGUCAUUAUUUUCCUGGUCUCAAGUUAGUCUCAAAGCAUUUAACAAUAAUUUCUAUUUCAUUUAUAAUAUACUGAGAGUUUAGUUAAUGAACUAAGGCCACAUAAAGUUGAAAUAAUGGUUCUCGGGUCAAAUUUUCUAGAAAUGGAUGUGAGAGGGAAGCAUUUUUGCCCUUUUUAUUGUUGAUG